UCGGCCUUCGCUUAAUGGUAGGGCAUCGCACUUUGAAUGCGUCUGUCUUGUUUCGAUCCCAAGAGGCCGAU
rnacentral:tRNA from 1 species